rnacentral:lncRNA from 1 species
UUUCUUUUGCUUUAAUUAUUUUAGCCUAUCAAAUGACGCAUGUGCCCUUGCCAUGUAUGCUGAACUUAUUUUGACGUUCAAAUGCAGUUAACUGCUAAGAUUUUUUGUGAACUAUUCAACCUAUUUGGUUGAGAUGAGUGAACAUGAACUAUAUGUAUAAACUUAUUGCGUAAACCCUGACGGGAUGUAUAUGGCUAUGAACUGGUGCCAUUUUGCGCUGCAACAAUAUAUUGUGGCAUGCCACUUGGUGUGGUUGCAAAGUUCAUGUGAAACAUGUUAUGAAAUGUAGGGGUGGAUAACGAGCUGGCUCAGCUCGGCUCGCCUUAGUCCGGCUCACUAAUAUAACGAGCUAGCUCGGCUCAACUUGUUAUCCUAACGAGCACAAAAACCUGCUCGGCUCGGCUCGGCUCGAUCCAGCUCGUCGCGAGCCGUUGCCUGAUUCCGUCGCUGAGGAUAGCAGGGUCCUCAUCCAUGGUAGAGAAGGCAGCAGGGGCUUGGGGCCAGGAGCACGGCGGCGCCUCGGCGCAACAAGGUCGAGGCUGGAAUCAUGGCAACGCAGCAUGGAGCUGAGCCGCGGCAGGAACCGAAUCUUGCAAUUGAAUCAAGAACAAAGGAAAUGCCAUUC